AGUGGAGUGGCGUCAACCACCAUCUUGGGACAACCUGUAUGGUACAUCUAGUUUUUCAUCCUUAUUUUGACAAAGGGAUUUAAGUAGAAAUUGUGAAUAGCCAGGUUCCAAUUUUUGUUUUGGAUGAUUAACCUUGGUGACUAGUGCAAGGAUAUUAAGGCCCUGAGGUGAAUAAUUGUUUCUGGCCUCUGUAGUACUAGUACAUAAACCGAAUUGCACUUUUCUGCCUUAUUUACUUUAUGAUACAUAAAAGUAUUUUGUGUCAAUAUGGUAUGAACUCAAAAUAUAAUAUUUUUUAUAUGCAAAGCAUAGUGCCAUAGAGUAGUGUCAGUGUUUUAGAUUUUUGGAAUCACGCUCUCACCCCCGAUAGAAACAGAAUAUUGAAGGCUUCUUGUAGAUGGGGUUUUAGAGCGAAAACUAUGAAUAGUAAUAAUAGUAUAAUAAUAAUAGUCUGUGUCCAUGACUCAUGGAUGAGGUCAGUGGCUUGUAAACCUCAAGAUACACCUAAUAAAACCCUUAACUACUUUUUAGCUAUCCUUUUUGUAGUUAAAAGGUAGUUAACUUUAAAGAUAUAGUUAAGUAGGUUGUAUACUGUAUAAAUCCCCGUUUACAUCAGACCUGGACGAAGUCAAACCGGAAUGCAACAUGUUUACAUGAGACCUGUACGAAAAUCACAAAAUUUUCAAUUUAUUCCCUUGCCAGGCCAUUUUCUUUUUUAGAUAGCUUUUGUUAGCAUGUGUUGUUCCAAUGUCAAGGUUACAGCUGAGACCGGUCUGAAAUGUAUUUGUGUUUACAUUCAUCCCAGUCUGAAUUCAUGCCGGUCUGAAGUCAGUCGGCUCGGUCCAGCAGGCGGAAUGACUUGAGACCUGUCUGAGUUAUUUUUGUCCUGGUCUCAUGUAAACAUCUAUUAUAGAUAAUACUAUGACCGAAACGAAAUGGUCCCGGUUUGACUUCGUUCCGGUCUCAUGUAAAGUAUCAAAGUUUCACUGUUCAAUCAUAAUUUGAAUAUUCAAAAAGUCGCUCAAAGAACAAUUAAUUUCUCCACGGUUGAUUCGCUUUAAUUAAAUUACAAAUUAAAUAUAUUCCCUUAAGUAUACUUUUCAUUAUUUUGAGUUACACAAAAGACAAAAUAUACAACUGGUAGAAAAAUGAUUUAAUGACAGUUCUAUUGUGGCCAUAAGUCGGAAACGCAAAUAAUGAUUGAACAGUGGAAUACUGUGAUAUGCAUAUUCUAAUCUUCCAGUCAGUGUAAUGAAUGCAACUGGAACGCUACCUCCAACCGGAAAUUUGAAGUCAAACUUGAAGGCCAGUCCCAGUCUUUUCACGCAUGCGAAGAGCAUGGUCAAUCCGUCAACAAGAAUAUGUAUUCUUGAAAUUCGGCUUAGUUAGUUUUAGUUUUUUCUUAUUAAAACGGCGCAUAAAAACAUUAAUAGAAAGUUUUCAGCGCUGUUAAAAAGGUUGUCAUGUAAAUUUUAAUAAAAAACUUUUUUUGUACAUUUUAAGCCGGUUUUCAAGAACACAUAUUCAUGUUGACGGACUGGUCUUCAAGUUUGGCUUCGAAUUUUCUGUUGGAGAUAGCGUUCCAAUAUAUGGACAACUUGCAUGUUAGACUAAAUUUUAAUCUAAGUAAAGAGAAGGGAAUCAAACACCACGGCUAAAAAGAACAUAAUGGAAUUAGUAAAAUUGCAAAAUUUGGUUGCGAAAUGUUGUAAAGCUUGGAGAAUAUGGUCUUGCAAAGUUUGCAAAUUUUGAAUAUGUUUGUGUUACGUGUGGAUAUUGUUACCAUUUGUGGCUCAAAAACGGUAACAAUUUCCGUACCCCUACAAACAUAUACAAAAUAUGCAAACUUCGCAAGGCUAUAUUUUCCAAGCUUUACAACAUUUCAAUGUAUAAAAGGUAAUUUUGGUAAUUUCAAUUUUACUAAUUUUAAUAAGUUCUUUACGGGAAUUUACUUUUUUGCCUAGAUCAAAAAUUAGUCUAACAUGCAACUUGUCUAUUCAGAAGGUUGAUUUAUCCAGUUCUGGAUCUAACUUAUUUAGAUCAGUGAGUGGCAACAGUAUAGAGCCUUGAUUGGGUGAUUUAGACCUGGCCUUUAAUUAGAACCCGUAUCUAGAGCCUUUAAUCUUGUUAGUGCUCAGCAGGUAAAUCUAUAAACACAUUUUGCAUAUACUAAAAUAAAUUGCGUAUAGGCUUACUUAUGUCUGUAGUAUAAUCUGAACUUUAAAUCUGAACGUUUGUUGAAAUCGCCGCGAAGAAUUAACGUUUUGUUUUUAAUUACGUUCACUUGACAUUGUAACAUUUGUAUUAAUAACGCCGAGUUUAGUUUGGGCCAUCUGGUUUUAAAAUUAGCCCUGCGCUUGCCAUUGGCUGGGCCGGUGUUCAAAUUAAAAUGUUUACUAUAAGAACAUAGCAAAAGCUGUAUAAAGCGUGUAAAACUGUGUCAGGAUUGAAUUUGGCUACAUAUAAACUGUAAUCUAUAUAUAAUCACGUUGAGAGGAUGUACGGUUAUCGAACAAGACAUUUCUACUGCAUUGGCUUGCUCUUUGCCUAUCAAAUGGUAAGCGUGACAUUGUGUGUUAAAUUUAAUAAGUUUUAAACGCGCACUUAAAAUUAUUAGUGAUUUAGCCUUUUAAUAUUUUGACUUACUUUAACGUAGA
rnacentral:lncRNA from 1 species